rnacentral:rRNA from 1 species
GGCGAGAAGCUGGGGCGUGCUAAUACAUGCAAGUAGAACGCUGAUGUUUGGUGUUACACUAGACUGAUGAGUUGCGAACGGGUGAGUAACGCGUAGGUAACCUGCCUCAUAGCGGGGGAUAACUAUUGGAAACGAUAGCUAAUACCGCAUAAGAGUGAUUAACACAUGUUAGUUAUUUAAAAGGAGCAAUUGCUUCACUGUGAGAUGGACCUGCGUUGUAUUAGCUAGUUGGUGAGGUAAAGGCUCACCAAGGCGACGAUACAUAGCCGACCUGAGAGGGUGAUCGGCCACACUGGGACUGAGACACGGCCCAGACUCCUACGGGAGGCAGCAGUAGGGAAUCUUCGGCAAUGGACGGAAGUCUGACCGAGCAACGCCGCGUGAGUGAAGAAGGUUUUCGGAUCGUAAAGCUCUGUUGUUAGAGAAGAACGUUGGUAGGAGUGGAAAAUCUACCAAGUGACGGUAACUAACCAGAAAGGGACGGCUAACUACGUGCCAGCAGCCGCGGUAAUACGUAGGUCCCGAGCGUUGUCCGGAUUUAUUGGGCGUAAAGCGAGCGCAGGCGGUUCUUUAAGUCUGAAGUUAAAGGCAGUGGCUUAACCAUUGUACGCUUUGGAAACUGGCAGGACUUGAUGCAGAAGGGGCAGCAGUGGAAUUCCAUGUGUACGGUGAAAUGCGUAAUACUAUGGAGGAACACCGGUGGCGAAAGCGGUCUCUGGUCUGUCACUGACGGCUGAGGCUCGAAAGCCGUGGGGGAAGCAAACCAGGGAUUAAUACCCUGGGUAGUCCAGCCGGUAAACGAUGAG